rnacentral:rRNA from 1 species
GACAGAGGCCCCAAGCGUUAGGCGGAAUCACUGGGCUUAAAGCGUGUGUAGGCGGAUCGUUAAGUGUCUUGUGAAAUCCCACGGCUCACCCGUGGAACUGCUGGGCAUACUGGCGAUCUUGGGCCAACUAGGGGCAGUCGGAACAAACGGUGGAGCGGUGAAAUGCGUAGAUAUCGUUUGGAACGCCAAUGGAGAAAUCAGGUUGCUGGGAGUGUGCUGACGGUGAGACACGAAAGCCAGGGGAGCGAACGGG